AUUGAAACACUAGUUCCUAUACAAUCACCAAAGUUAAGCAAUAUUGAGAUUGGUCAGUACUUAUAUGAGUGACCGCUUAGGAAUACCAGGUGCUGUAAG